UACGAAGGGUGCAAGCGUUACUCGGAAUUACUGGGCGUAAAGCGUGCGUAGGUGGUUGUUUAAGUCUGCUGUGAAAGCCCUGGGCUCAACCUGGGAAUUGCAGUGGAUACUGGGCGACUAGAGUGUGGUAGAGGAUAGUGGAAUUUCCGGUGUAGCAGUGAAAUGCGUAGAGAUCGGAAGGAACAUCUGUGGCGAAGGCGACUAUCUGGGCCAACACUGACACUGAGGUACGAAAGCGUGGGGAGCAAACAGG
rnacentral:rRNA from 1 species